rnacentral:tRNA from 2 species
GGAGAGGUGGCAGAGUGGUCGAAUGCGGUAGACUCGAAAUCUAUUGAAGGGUCACACCUUCCGAGGGUUCGAAUCCCUCCCUCUCCG